GAGUUUGAUCAUGGCUCAGGAUAAACGCUGGCGGCGCACAUAAGACAUGCAAGUCGAACGAACUUAAUCCUUAGUUUACUAUGGAAGCGGUUAGUGGCGGACUGGUGAGUAACACGUAAGCAACCUGCCUAUUAGAGGGGAACAACAGUUAGAAAUGACUGCUAAUACCGCAUAUGCCAUAAGUAUCGCAUGAUACAAGUGGGAAAGGAGAAAUCCGCUAAUAGAUGGGCUUGCGUCUGAUUAGUUAGUUGGUGGGGUAAUGGCCUACCAAGACGACGAUCAGUAGCCGAACUGAGAGGUUGAACGGCCACAUUGGGACUGAGAUACGGCCCAGACUCCUACGGGAGGCAGCAGUCGGGAAUAUUGCGCAAUGGAGGAAACUCUGACGCAGUGACGCCGCGUGCAGGAAGAAGGUUUUCGGAUUGUAAACUGCUUUAGACAGGGAAGAAAAGACAGUACCUGUAGAAUAAGCUCCGGCUAACUACGUGCCACAGCCCGCCGCGGUAA
rnacentral:rRNA from 1 species